rnacentral:rRNA from 1 species
AACGCUGGCGGCAUGCCUUACACAUGCAAGUCGAACGGCAGCGCGGGGCAACCUGGCGGCGAGUGGCGAACGGGUGAGUAAUGUAUCGGAACAUACCCUAGAGUGGGGGAUAACGUAGCGAAAGUUACGCUAAUACCGCAUACGCACUAAGGUGGAAAGUGGGGGAUCUUCGGACCUCAUGCUCAUGGAGUGGCCGAUAUCUGAUUAGCUAGUUGGUGAGGUAAAGGCUCACCAAGGCGACGAUCAGUAGCUGGUUUGAGAGAACGACCAGCCACACUGGAACUGAGACACGGUCCAGACUCCUACGGGAGGCAGCAGUGGGAAUUUUGGACAAUGGGGCAACCCUGAUCCAGCAAUGCCGCGUGAGUGAAGAAGGCCUUCGGGUUGUAAAGCUCUUUUGUCAGGGAAGAAACGGUGAGUUCUAAUAAAGCUUGCUAAUGACGGUACCUGAAGAAUAAGCACCGGCUAACUACGUG